rnacentral:rRNA from 1 species
AUUGAACGCUGGCGGCAUGCUUUACACAUGCAAGUCGAACGGCAGCGCGGGCUUCGGCCUGGCGGCGAGUGGCGAACGGGUGAGUAAUACAGCGGAACGUGCCCAGUAGUGGGGGAUAGCUCGGCGAAAGCCGGAUUAAUACCGCAUACGACCUGAGGGUGAAAGCGGGGGAUCUUCGGACCUCGCGCUAUUGGAGCGGCCGAUGGCAGAUUAGCUAGUUGGUGGGGUAAAGGCCUACCAAGGCGACGAUCUGUAGCUGGUCUGAGAGGGCGACCAGCCACACUGGGACUGAGACACGGCCCAGACUCCUACGGGAGGCAGCAGUGGGGAAUUUUGGACAAUGGGCGAAAGCCUGAUCCAGCAAUGCCGCGUGUGUGAUGAAGGCCUUCGGGUUGUAAAGCACUUUUGGCGGGAACGAAAAGGACUGUGCCAAUACCACGGUUCGAUGACGGUACCCGCAGAAUAAGCACCGGCUAACUACGUG